rnacentral:rRNA from 1 species
CCUACGGGUGGCAGCAGUGGGGAAUAUUGGACAAUGGGGGGAACCCUGAUCCAGCCAUGCCGCGUGUGUGAAGAAGGCCCUCGGGUUGUAAAGCACUUUCAGUGAGGAAGAACGCCUGGUGGUUAAUACCCAUCAGGAAAGACAUCACUCACAGAAGAAGCACCGGCUAACUCCGUGCCAGCAGCCGCGGUAAUACGGAGGGUGCGAGCGUUAAUCGGAAUUACUGGGCGUAAAGCGCGCGUAGGUGGCUUGAUAAGCCGGUUGUGAAAGCCCCGGGCUCAACCUGGGAACGGCAUCCGGAACUGUCAAGCUAGAGUGCAGGAGAGGAAGGUAGAAUUCCCGGUGUAGCGGUGAAAUGCGUAGAGAUCGGGAGGAAUACCAGUGGCGAAGGCGGCCUUCUGGCCUGACACUGACACUGAGGUGCGAAAGCGUGGGUAGCAAACAGGAUUAGAUACCCUGGUAGUC